GGAGAGAUAGCGAAGUGGCUAAACGCGGUGGACUGUAAAUCCACUCUCAACGAGUUCGAUGGUUCGAAUCCAUCUCUCUCCACCA
rnacentral:tRNA from 1 species